rnacentral:rRNA from 1 species
GACAGAGGCCCCAAGCGUUAGGCGGAAUCACUGGGCUUAAAGCGUGUGUAGGCGGAUCGUUAAGUGUCUUGUGAAAUCCCACGGCUCACCCGUGGAACUGCUGGGCAUACUGGCGAUCUUGGGCCAACUAGGGGCAGCCGGAACAAGCGGUGGAGCGGUGAAAUGCGUAGAUAUCGCUUGGAACACCGAAGGUGAAAACAGGUCGCUGGGGACGCGCCGACGCUGAGACACGAAAGCCAGGGGAGCAAACGGG